GUGAGCUUUUACAUAUCAGUUAAGUGCUUUCCUGAGCUUUGCUAUCUUCUCCUUUUUUAUCGGUUUCUUUCAGAUAGCAGGCAGAAAACCUGGCUUUAAAAGAGGAGCUCAGACAGGAAGCAGCAAUGUUCCAGAAGGAUUUCUAAGGCAACAGGAGAGCAACUGGCUUCUUGCAGUGUGAAUUUCAGAGAUCCCUAAAACCCUUGGCUGCACAGUUGGAACAGGACUGAGGAGCCAGCACCCCAGAGGACCUGCACUUCCCCAGCACUUGCACCCUGUGUCAGGGCUGAGCUACACAAGACUCUUCUGGGUGGAAAGAGAAAUCCCCAUGCUUUGGUAGGCACUGAAACAGCUAAUUUGUGUCAACACCAAGUCCAGGCUGCUUUUGAAACUGUCUCUUGUCUAUGCAUGGGUUUUUAAUCCCAGCUGAGAUACCAAUGUGUUCACUGCUGUGUGCUCAGAAAAAAAAGAUGACAACACGAGCAUCAUCAGGUUGAAGGGAUAAGUUCAAGUCCUGCCCCAAAGAGGAGAGUACGUGAUGCUGGGCAGUCCUUCACCCAGCCCCGAUCUUGCAGCCUCAGGGCAUGUACAGGAGGCACCUGGGAAAACGCUGUUCGCAGGGAAGUAACCUUCCUUACACAUCUUUCCUUGCUCUGCUUUCCUGCCCUUAGCAAAGCCACAUGGCAGUGCAGGCUGCGCGUGUGGAUGUGAGAUUAUUGGAUGCUGGAUCUCACUGUACAUUGUGCUUCUGCAGGACAGUGGGCUUUGUUUGGAAAAUAUGUCUGAAUUAGCUCCAAGGCCAGUUAUAACCAAAAAAAUCCCUUUUUUCCUAGGCUGACAGGAUGUCUGUGGGCAUCCCGAGCUAACAGAGGAAGCAACCAGGCUCAUGGAGACAGGGACAGAGCUGCUGUGGCAAUGGCACGGAGGUGGUGAUGGUGCGGCAGCCGCAGAGCCGGAGCACAGUGCUUUUACCUGGCAAACGCUGCUGCGGGAAAAGCAGUGGGAGAGGGGCUGUCCCAGGACAUCUGCACAGGCCGGGACACCGAAGGAACGCAGUCAGGAGACGCAGGGUCAGGCCACCACGAGGUGGCAGCCGGAGCCCAGUGAUGAGACAACCCUGGGUCCUGGCUCAGCAUGUUCUGGCCCCGCGGUCCUGAACUCCAGUGGGCAGCCCAUGGCGGGGUGCAGGGGGUGCCACAGUGAUCCCAAAAGAUUUAAGAAAAAAAAAAAAAAGACACAAUUAUCAAGUAACCAGUUUGGUACUGASAGAGGUAGAAAGCCCCUAAAAAUUUUUAAGUGUUGAAGGAGUUUGUCAUUCUCUGAGAGGGCAAGUGUACAGCACCCCUUCCUUUGGGAACAAAUAAUGACCUCUUUUCCCAAARCAGCUAAAUUACCUCAUGGAUAUCCCCUUUCCUGGCCCUGCACUGGUUUGUUCAAAAAUUGUUUGAAAAAAAAACUGCUUGACAUAAUUGAGAUAAAAAUCAGAGCAGUUAUUUUCCACUGUUACUGAGAUGGAUGGCGCAGCUCCUGUUCCAGGUGUCCUGCAUGACUGAGCCAUAGGAUCAUAGCGUGGCUUGGGUUGGAAGGGACCUUAAUGAGCAUCUGCUUCCAACCCCCCUGCCAUUAACAGGGACAAACAGGUGCUUCUUUGGGGGUUGGGGUACCCCCCGGGUACAUAUUCUAUCCUAAGACACUGUUUCUUUCGCCCACAGAGGCUUUGCUUUUGUCUGUUCAUGCAGGACAGUGCAGCAGAAGUAACAAGACAUGCUGGAAACUAGCCUGUUACAGUUCAGGAAUGUGUGAUCCAGUGUCCACGGCUCACACACCAGCUCCAUAAAAUGAUCAUAGAGGAAAAAAAAAAAAAAGGAAAAAAAAGGCCACACUGAAAAAAAACCCAUCUUUUUAUACAGGGGAAAACAUGGACUGUUCCAGCAGCAGCAGGUAAAAGAAACCUGAAUCUGGCAGACAAAAUAAACGGGCUGUGCCCGCCAGUGCAUYUCCCACCAUCUCCCAAGGGUUCAGGAAUGGCAGCCACUGCUUUCCCCUGGCCUCUGUGUAUGCUCAGGAUGUAUAGGGCUCCUUGGGCAGAAGAGAGCCAUCCCCAAUCCCCCAGCUCAUUGGCAUAUCCUCACCAUGUGCAGGCUCAUUGGUUUGAGGGAAUAGGAGAACUGUGAGCCUUGUCCCACAGGAAAUGAUGGCACAGUGGGAKGCAGCUUUCCAUCCUCUCUGUUCCAUGACCAUUGCGGACUCACAGCUCUGUGCUCCCUUUGGAUGCUGUUUAGUGUUGCUCUAAGGGCUCAUUCCAAAUGCUAUUUCUGCUCAGCAUGCAAAUCGUUUCAUUUUUUAACCAGCCACUCCCCCCAGCUUUACUGAGCAAAGCUUUCUAAAUUUGUCAAGAGCGAGCAGGGACAACAAAGCGAAAAGGAACCUUGUCUCAUUUCCUCUUAGCCAGUGAGUAAGAGUUGACUC